CAAACACAUUCCUAGAAAGACAAAGCAAAUAGAGAGCAAGAAAAAGCUAACAUUUACAAUUCACAAUUCACUUAUCGUUUUCUCCGAAGCCCCUCCUCGCUCUCCAUCUUCUCCAACUUCUCUCUCUCUCUCUCUCCACACAUCCAUCAAAUAAAAUUAGGGCUUGAGAGGGAAAAAUUUGGAUUGAAGAUGUCGCAGCAGAGCAGCGGAGGCGGCCCGGACUUUCAUUUACCCGAUGAGAUUCUGGCGGUGAUUCCAACCGACCCCUACGACCAGCUCGAUCUGGCCAGGAAGAUCACGUCCAUGGCAAUCGCCUCUCGCGUUUCGAAGCUCGAGUCGGAGGUUGGGAGGUUGAGGCAGAAGAGUCACGACAAGGAUCGCCUGAUUUUGGAGCUCCAAGACAAGGUUUCGCACCUCCAACAGGCCUGUCACGAAUCAGAUUCGCUCUUGAGAAUGGCUCGUGAUGAUAAUGUGAAGCUUUCAAAGGAUCGAGAUUCAUUGGCCAUGACAGUGAAGAAACUAGGCCGUGAUUUGGCCAAGCUGGAGACAUUCAAGAGACAACUGAUGCAGUCACUAAAUGAUGAUAAUUUGCCUCAAGCUGAAACUGUUGAUAUCGUGACCUGUGACCAAUCAGUUCCCAAACCCUAUCCUGUGAAAGAUGAGGAGAUGAAUGGCCACACAUCACCAUAUUCCUUAAGAGGCUCUACAGAAUGUGCAUACCCAACUGAUGAUGCCUCAAAGCAAGCUGGGAAAAAAUUUUCUAUGACGCCGUAUAUAACACCACGGUUUACUCCAACUGGAACUCCAAAAAUCAUAUCCACAACUGGAUCCCCAAGAAGGUAUUCUGCUGAUGGAUCUCCUCAGGAAACUUCUCGUACCAUGUCUCCCACAAGAACUCAAUAUGAUGGACAUGGUGCACUGUCUUCAUGGUACCCCUCGAGCCAGCAGUCAUCAGCUGCUAACUCCCCUCCUCACAGACGCCAAGCUCCAGCACGCACUCCACGAAUUGAUGGAAAGGAGUUCUUCCGUCAAGCUAGGAGUCGCUUGUCAUAUGAACAGUUCAGUGCAUUUCUGGCAAACAUAAAGGAAUUAAACGCUCAAAAUCAAUCUCGGGAGGAAACUUUGAGGAAAGCUGAAGAGAUAUUUGGGAUGGAUAAUAAAGAUCUUUACUUAUCAUUUCAAGGAUUGCUUAACCGCAACAUGCGCUAAAUGUUUCACUGAAAUGGGGACACUGCAGCUGCUUUGAGGUUUACCUCUUAUUGAGCUGCAUUUUGUGGAUGGUCCUAAAUCAUUCUCUAUGAAGAAUUUUUGAAAUGUGAUCAACCUGCAUAUGAGCUGAUUAUUUUUCGGGGAACUAGAGUAUAGAAUUUGCAGGCUUGAUUUUCCUCCUUCCUUGCAGUAUCAGAGUUUUCUUCAAUGCAUCUCUCUCUCUCUCUCUCUCGCCCCCCUUGUGUGCAUUUGUGGUCUCUUAGCAACUUUAUUAGGGCUUCAGGUGAGGACUUUGGUGGAAAUGGAAUUUUUUAAGAGGCAAGGUUCAGCAAGUCUAGUUAGUAGAGGAAGGCUGGGAGUUAUCUCAUGCUGGAUCCAAAACAAAAGCUAUUACAGUGCAUAGUAUGAGCUUCACAUUGAACCGAGUUAAGUUGCGCAAAUACUUUGGGCCAACCUGGCAGAUGUUCAGCUAUGUCAUGCCUGCAAAUUUACGGCUCUCUGUUGUAACAGUUGUGUAGCUUUGAUUGUUUAGUAAGUUUUUGCCUUAAGUGGACCCAAAUUCAAAACCAAGAUAUGGCAUCUAAACCCCAAAUUUUUGACUGCAA